rnacentral:lncRNA from 1 species
GGGCAACCUGAUGCAAGAAGGUUGGACGGAACCGACUGGAUAACAUAAAUCCUUAAGGGUUUGGGGUUGAUUGGGUUCUCCCAUUGUAGAAGUUAUUGGGUUUGAAAUAGAAAUCCAAUUAAUUCUUACUAGUCGACCCGACACCGUUUUCCACGAAGAAAGUGAAGAGAGUACUUUUUUUUCUAAUUUUUUUUCAAUCAAGUUUUCAAUCAAAAGAAGAGAAAAGAAAAGAAGAGAGGUCCUGACUAAGAUUUUCUUAAUUCUAGACAGCUUUUAACUGCCAAGGUCGCCUUUGAGCAGUCCAAGUUCGAAAUCGACUAACCGAAUCAGUCAGAUAAGUAUAAGAUUGGUGGAAGAUUUUUCGUGCUUUCGUAAUAGACCUAAUUAGAUAACCAGCUUUCUUCAGAACGUAGUUCUUGAACUACUUUCUUAGACACUGAUAGGCUAACCCACUUGAAUCCGAUCAAACUCUUGAGUUUUCUUAUCCUAAUGAGCUCGAAUGUCCCUAAGGCUGGCAUCUAAUUCAUUUUAUUUAAGGAUUAGGUUAUGUAGAUGCAAGAAGAUGAUUUGUAGGCUAAGAAAGGGUGAUCAAAUCUCCACCUUAUCUGAUUAAUGGGUGAUGUUCUGAAGAUAUAUUAUGAAAAUGCAAUACAAAGAAAGAA